ACUUACUUGAGCUGUCAGCAUUCUCUCCCAUGGUCUGCAUUGACAGGAAGCUACAGUCACCCCUGAACUGGGAAUCAAACCCAGAGAAAACCUCUAUCAAUAGACUGCUCAGCUGACCCAAGAACUGCAGAAAAUUACAGACUUAGGAAAAUGGGUUCUGGACAAUCAACACAUACACAAGGACCUGAGUCAAUUGAGAUCAAGACGG